rnacentral:rRNA from 1 species
GACGAACGCUGGCGGCGUGCUUAACACAUGCAAGUCGAACGGAAAGGCCCUGCUUUUGUGGGGUUCUCGAGUGGCGAACGGGUGAGUAACACGUGAGUAACCUGCCCUUGACUUUGGGAUAACUUCAGGAAACUGGGGCUAAUACCUGAUAGGAGCUCCUGCUGCAUGGUGGGGGUUGGAAAGUUUCGGCGGUUGGGGCUGGACUCGCGGCUUAUCAGCUUGUUGGUGGGGUAGUGGCUUACCAAGGGUUUGACGGGUAGCCUGCCCGGGAGGGUGAACGGCCCCCUUGGGACUGAGGUACGGACCAGUCUCCUAUGGGGGGCAGCAGUGGGGAAUCUUGCCCAAUGGGGGGAAGUCUGAUAAAGAGACGCCCGGUGCGGGAAGACCGCCUUCGGGUUGUAAACCGCAUUAGCCUGUGACCAAGCGUGAGUGACGGUACUGGGUAAAGAAGCACCGGCUAACUACGUG